rnacentral:tRNA from 3 species
GGGGAAUUGGCGGAAUUGGCAGACGCACUAGACUUAGGAUCUAGCGCCUUUGGCGUAAGGGUUCAAGUCCCUUAUUCCCCACCA